CCUACGGGACGCAGCAGUAGGGAAUCUUCCACAAUGGACGAAAGUCUGAUGGAGCAACGCCGCGUGAGUGAAGAAGGGUUUCGUCUCGUAAAGCUCUGUUGGGAGUGAAGAAAGAUAGAGGUAGUAACUGGCCUUUAUUUUACGGUAAUUACUUAGAAAGUCACGGCUAACUACGUGCCAGCAGCCGCGGUAAUACGUAGGUGGCAAGCGAUGUCCGGAUUUACUGGGUGGAAAGGGCGUGCAGCCGGGAAGACAAGUCAGGUGUGAACUCCCGCGGCUCAACCGCGGAACUGCAUUUGCAACUG
rnacentral:rRNA from 1 species